AGAUUGAACGCUGGCAGCAUGCCUUACACAUGCAAGUCGAACGGCAGCACGGGAGCAAUCCUGGUGGCGAGUGGCGAACGGGUGAGUAAUACAUCGGAGCGUGCCCAGUAGUGGGGGGAUAACCCGGCGAAAGCCGGACUAAUACCGCAUACGACCUACGGGUGAAAGCAGGGGAUCGCAAGACCUUGCGCUAUUGGAGCGGCCGAUGUCAGAUUAGCUUGUUGGCGGGUAAAAGCCCACCAAGGCGACGAUCUGUAGCUGGUCUGAGAGGACGACCAGCCACACUGGGACUGAGACACGGCCAGACUCCUACGGGAGCAGCAGUGGGAAUUUGGACAAUGGGCGCAAGCCUGAUCCAGCCAUGCCGCGUGCGGGAAGACGGCCGUUGGUUCGUAAACCGUCGUUUGUACGGGUAAGAAACGCCAGUGGUUAAUACCGUGUGGUU
rnacentral:rRNA from 1 species